rnacentral:rRNA from 1 species
CCUACGGGAGGCAGCAGUCGAGAAUCUUCCGCAAUGGACGAAAGUCUGACGGAGCGACGCCGCGUGCGGGAUGAAGGCCCUUGGGUUGUAAACCGCUGUCAGAGGGGAUGAAGUCUUCGGAGGUACUCCUCCGAAGUUGACAGAGCCUCAAAGGAAGCACGGGCUAAGUACGUGCCAGCAGCCGCGGUAACACGUACUGUGCGAACGUUAUUCGGAAUCACUGGGCUUAAAGGGUGCGUAGGCGGCGAUUCAAGUCAGAUGUGAAAUGCCUGAGCUCAACUGAGGCAUUGCGUUUGAAACUGAAUUGCUAGAGUAUCCUAGGGGUGUGCGGAACUGCCAGUGGAACGGUGAAAUGUGUUGAUAUUGGCAGGAACACCGGAGGCGAAAGCGGCACACUGGGGGAUAACUGACGCUGAGGCACGAAAGCCAAGGGAGCGAACGGGAUUAGAUACCCCGGUAGUCUUGGCCGUAAACGAUGAGCACUGGGCGGGAGGGGGUUUCCCUUUCUGCCGUAGCGAAGCGUUAAGUGCUCCGCCUGGGGAGUGUGGUCGCAAGGCUGAAACUCAAAUGAAUUGACGGNNGNGAGNGCGAGGCGACGACGAGGGAGGAGG